rnacentral:rRNA from 1 species
UACGUAGGUGGCAAGCGUUAUCCGGAUUUACUGGGUGUAAAGGGAGCGUAGACGGUAUGGCAAGUCUGAAGUGAAAGCCCAGGGCUUAACCCUGGGACUGCCUUGGAAACUGUUAGACUAGAGUGCUGGAGAGGUAAGUGGAAUUCCUAGUGUAGCGGUGAAAUGCGUAGAUAUUAGGAGGAACACCAGUGGCGAAGGCGGCUUACUGGACAGUAACUGACGUUGAGGCUCGAAAGCGUGGGGAGCAAACAGG